rnacentral:RNase_MRP_RNA from 1 species
UCUUGGGGAAAUUCCCCGGACGUAAAGGCAGAGAGUGCCAACCUGGAAACGGGUGCCUGUGGUUUUGGGCCUCACAUUUGGGUGACGAUAUGAGCCAUUUCGUGUGCGGGCCUGACUUGCAGCCGUCUUAGCAAAGUUAUGCGGACUACUACACAACGGGGAUU